GUGCCAGCAGCCGCGGUAAUACGUAGGGUGCGAGCGUUGUCCGGAAUUAUUGGGCGUAAAGAGCUCGUAGGCGGUGUGUCACGUCGGCCGUGAAAACCUGCAGCUUAACUGUGGGCGUGCGGUCGAUACGGGCAUCACUGGAGUUCGGCAGGGGAGACUGGAAUUCCUGGUGUAGCGGUGAAAUGCGCAGAUAUCAGGAGGAACACCGGUGGCGAAGGCGGGUCUCUGGGCCGAUACUGACGCUGAGGAGCGAAAGCGUGGGGAGCAAACAGGAUUAGAUACCCUGGUAGUCCACGCCGUAAACGGUGGGCACUAGGUGUGGGGACCAUUCCACGGUUUCUGUGCCGCAGCUAACGCAUUAAGUGCCCCGCCUGGGGAGUACGGCCGCAAGGCUAAAACUCAAAGAAAUUGGCGG
rnacentral:rRNA from 1 species